rnacentral:lncRNA from 1 species
CUAAAUUUAUUUUAAUUUAUAUAUAAGUGUAUUUUGUUGAUUUAGGUAGAAAAUUACAGAUUUAACAUGAAGUCUUCCAUUUAUUUUUUAUUAAAAAGAAAGCAUCUACGAAUGUGUAUCUAAAUUGAGCAAUUUGUGUGGAAGGAAAAGAGAUAAGGGAGAGGGGGAAAAAGGAAAAGGGAGAUGAUCGAGGAAAGCACCGAUCUUUAGCCUAAGAUCGUAAUUUCAUUGAAUCCUGCAAUUUAUGAGUGCUUUGUUCAGCUUCUAAAGAGGGCUCUGCUUUCGAUGGCAUCAGUAUUUUGAAAUCGCACUAUUAUAUCUUGCGAUCAUUAUCUUAGUACGUCAUUGAUAGGUUGAACUCUGCUAUAUCCCCUUCCUUUAUUGCAGUCAGAUUCGGCGUUGCUGCUACAAUUGAAGGCUCUCGUCUCUUGUUGCUUG